rnacentral:rRNA from 1 species
AGAACGAACGCUUGCGACGUGCCUAAGAAAUGCAAGUCGAACGGACCAGCAGCAAUGCUGGUUAGUGGCGAACGGUCGCGUAACACGUGGGCAACCUGCCCUGAAGCGGGGGACAACAACUCGAAAGAGUUGCUAAUACCGCAUGUGUAUCGGAAUGGCAUCAUUCAGGAUACAAAGCCGCAAGGCACUUCAGGAUGGGCCCGCGGCCUAUCAGCUAGUUGGUGAGGUAACGGCUCACCAAGGCUUCGACGGGUAGCUGGUCUGAGAGGACGAUCAGCCGGAUUGGGACUGAGAUACGGCCCAGACUCCUACGGGGGGCAGCAAUUAGGAAUCUUGCACAAUGGGCGAAAGCCUGAUGCAGCGACGUCGCGUGAAGGAUGAAAUCUUUCGGGAUGUAAACUUCUUUACCAGGGAAGAAAUAAAUGACGGUACCUGGUGAAUAAGCCCCGGCUAACUACGCGCCAGCAGCCGCGGU